UUUCCUACGGGGGGCAGCAGUGGGGAAUAUUGCACAAUGGGGGAAACCCUGAUGCAGCGACGCCGCGUGAGUGAAGAAGUAUUUCGGUAUGUAAAGCUCUAUCAGCAGGGAAGAAAAUGACGGUACCUGACUAAGAAGCCCCGGCUAACUACGUGCCAGCAGCCGCGGUAAUACGUAGGGGGCAAGCGUUAUCCGGAUUUACUGGGUGUAAAGGGAGCGUAGACGGCAGCGCAAGUCUGAAGUGAAAUCCCAUGGCUUACCCAUGGAACUGCUUUGGAAACUGGGAGACUUGAGUGCAGAAGAGG
rnacentral:rRNA from 1 species